GCCUCGAUAGCUCAGUCUGGUAGAGCGUUUCACUCGUAAUGAAAAGGUCAUGGGUUCGGAUCCCAUUCGAGGCU
rnacentral:tRNA from 3 species